UCGGCGCGCGCGCGGGCGCACUGGCGCCACCCAGGCCCGGGACUGGGUAUCCGCAGCCGUUGCUUCUGUGAAGUCCGGAGAAUUUGAGGAGUCGAAUUUGGCGAUUCUUCACUUCCAUAGAACACCCGGUGCCCGUCACAAGCGCCCUCCUUAAUACUCAUCGCCUCAGCCUGCUUGCGGUUUGCCCGAAAACCGGGACCCUCACACUAGUCUGGGGCUUCCGGAUGGGUGAGCCAGCGCGUGCUCAGCCGGUACCCUCAGCCGUUUUGUAAAGCCCUUUAUUGCCCAUUUUACGUAAUUUGAGGGAUCCAUAUGCAGUAUCCAGUUCGCGGUUUUGAGGACUAACUUGGUCCCAGAGCCAGUUUCUAAAUGGGGAUUCCUGAGGUGUUUUGAACAAGGGCAGAUGGGGGUCGUGAGAAUGUUGGGAGUGGUGGGGCCCUUGGACGCCGCCCAAGUCGGCAACCGGGUGGUUUCUGGUUUGAGGACCCCCCCCCCUGCACUGCACGUCCCAGUAAAUGAGCUCAGCCCGUGGCUCCUUUGUCGCUAGCUCCUCCCGGUACUCCAGCCUCCCCUCCCCCUCCCCCCGGAACAAUCUGGAAGCUCCUUGCGUUGUAAACAAACCUGACCGAACUCUCCUUCCACUUCCUUUCCCGGAAACCUCGCUUUUCCAGGAACGGGGUUUUCAGACUGGGGCUUGAGACCCAUGGGGAGCGUGUGAAAUCAGCACAGGGGCGUCCUGGGUGGCGUUAAGGAGCGGAGAGAGCGAAUGGAAACUUCCAGCCACGUGGCCGGGGGAGGCGGGGGUUGCUGUGCCUCUUACGGGGGCACCUUGUAAAGCGUGUUCGUGACCCCAGCUGUGUCUGGGAGCUCCCGCCCGGGUUUUCCCUGCAGCCUGGGCCAGGCUGGGGGAGGGGAGGCCGGAGGAGGGCGGUGGGCGUGCUGGCGCCCCUGUGCGAAAGCGACCGGGAGGCCGCCGCCCCACCUGGAGGCCUGGCCCGCUGCCUUUCCGCCCACCUCGGUCGCGGCCCGGGAAGCGUAAGAGGUCUCGUAGGCGAGCCAGUCAGAGCCCCAGCUGUGCAAGUCUCCGUUUCCAGAGACUUCACCUGCCCCCGCCCCACCCUCCUCGCCCCAAGGUCACUCCCGGAUCGCUGUUGCCCGGCUGGUUCCAACUCUAGCAACCCUCCCUCCUGCCACAUCCCCCCGUCUUUGCGGCUCUCUCCUGCCUGCCUUAGUCACUAAGUAAAAGAACUUUCUCAUCCUGCCCCCUCUUGGCCUCCGGGCAACAUCGUACCCCGACCAGCAUUGCCCCGGGGACCUCUGCCUCGGUUUCCCCAGCGGCCCUUGUCGGAGCUGUUGGAACCGGGCCUCUGUGCACGUGAUGACGGAGAAGCCCGGCCGGGCCUCUAGUGCCGCACCCCACCCACCUGGCCUUCGGGGACUCACGACCCCGCUGGCUGCCCCACCACCUUCUAGAACUCCCAAGCAUCCCCACAGGGGGUCUGGCCUGAGCCCUGCCACUUCUGCGACCGAAAUGCCUCCCCAGUGCGUCUGCUGCUCUCCAUGUCUGUCGUCCACGCCCCUCCGCAAGUCGCUCGCCCCGGUCACCACAGCCAGUGGCUCAGCGGAAGGACCUCCGUAGCCCCCAACCGCGCCGUCUCCACCCUGUAGCCCGCAGCUCCCCUCACGCCCCCUUGUCACUAAGCUCCACCCUGAACUCCGGCCACAGGGCUGCCCACAGCUGGCUUCUCUGCGCUGGACGCCAUUCGCCUGCUUUCUUCUCUGUCCCCUCUCUGUAAGGCUCCCGUUUCCCCGGGUGCCCUUCCCAUCCUGACUUACCUAUGAGGCCCAAUCCCCUGUGUAAAUAAUUUCUCAGAGUGUGGGGACCCCCCCGGGGGCGUGUGCGCACCCACGCCAGCCAGUUCUCCCACCCCUGCGCCCCCGCGCCCCCUCCCCUCCCUUUCCACCCAGCCUCCUGCUCCCGCCUCUCUGUUCUUGUCCUGUGUCCACGUCCUGCAGAGGACAAGCGCCUAUUUGUUGAACUGUUGUCCAGGCAGCCCGGCCUUUCUCCUUCCCGCCAACCCUUCGGCGUCCCUCCAUUAGGCCGGAACGCAAGGCAUGGACCCCGGGCCCAGGUGUCCUGGGUUCAGACGUCGGCUCUGCUACUGCCUGCGCCUGCGACCUGGGCACGUCGCUGCUGGUGUGCCUGCCCCUGUGACGUGGGCACGGCAAGACUGUAGGCUUAUGAACCUUACGCGAGCAAAGUCUGUUUUGGGAAAUGACUGAGGACAGGGCCUGGCACGUGCACAAAAUAAAUAACUCUUCAUUUUCC